GACGAACGCUGGCGGCGUGCUUAACACAUGCAAGUCGAACGGAAAGGCCCUGCUUGCCGGGUACUCGAGUGGCGAACGGGUGAGUAACACGUGGUUAAUUUGCCCUCCCCUUGGGGUUAGCCUUGGGAAACUGGUUCUAUUACGGGUAAGAGGCAAUCUUUGUUGUGGUGUUUGGAAGUUUUUUUGGUGUAGGAUGAGCUCGCGGCCUAUCAGCUUGUUGGUGGGGUAAUGGCCUACCAAGGCGGCGACGGGUAGCCGGCCUGAGAGGGUGUACGGCCACAUUGGGACUGAGAUACGGCCCAGACUCCUACGGGAGGCAGCAGUGGGGAAUAUUGCACAAUGGGCGCAAGCCUGAUGCAGCGACGCCGCGUGGGGGAUGAAGGCCUUCGGGUUGUAAACUCCUUUCGCUAGGGACGAAGCUUUUUGUGACGGUACCUAGAUAAGAAGCACCGGCUAACUACGUG
rnacentral:rRNA from 1 species